GGGGUGUUGCUUAAUCAUUUGCAUUCUUCCAUUGACAUAAAAUAUUUAGCACUCAGAGAUCAUUUCUGGUCAGGAGAAAUUUGUGCAUUUUUAAUCCAAAAUAGAAACCUUCAUAAAAGCAUCAUAGGUCUCCAUUCAAUAUUGACUAUAAUUGUUCACAUGCCCACGCUGAAUGCUAACUUGGGCUCACCCUCAACACCCACGAGGUGGGUACUAUUAUUAUCACUCACAUUUGACCAGAGGGAUUGUUUGAUUAGGGUGAAGUAGUUGAGAGUUCAGACCCAGGAGACAGCCUGCCUGCUUCGAAUCCUGGCCCAACCCCUUGCCCUGUGUGACCUUGGGCAAGUGACUGCAUCUCUCUGUGCUAUUGUUUUCUUAUUAAUGGGGGAUAUAAUGAUACCUACCUCUUAGGGUUGUUGUCAGCGUUGAGUACAAAAGCCUGUGGAUCAGUGCCUGGCUCAUGGUAAAUGCAUGUCGGUGUUAGCUAGUGUUUUAUUCAGUCUCAAAAUGUUUAAUAAAUGCCUUCCGUGAGCCAGGCACCAUGGAUCAGCAGUACCCAUGAUAGAUGAGGCUCUGCUUGCAUGGGAGAGCCAGAGAAUAAACAGAUAAAUGAAUAAACAAGAAAAGACCAGAUGAGAGUGGCUUUAAAGCCAAUAAAACAGGGAAAUGGUGAAUGGAGCAACUGGGGAGAAGAGUCACCAAAGUCAGGGAAUCAUGGAAGCUUUCCCCAAAGAGGUGGCAUUUGAACUGGGGCCUGAGUGGUGAAGCAGCCAGCCAUGGGAAGGGUUUGGGGAACAGGAUAUGCAAAGGCCCUGUGGUGGAAACAAGCCAGCUGUGGUUGAGGAACAACAGCAAGGCAGCCAGUGUGGCUGGAGUGGAGUGAGCAGGGUGGGCCAGGGGUGAGGGAGAACAGGCCAGAGAGAGGGAUUAGCACCAGGUCUUGUAGGGCUUUUUAUGGCAUAGAAGGAGCUCUGAAGCAAUGAAGUGCCUUGCCGUGUGCCACAUGCCAGCCGAGACAGUCUGCCUAACUCGGGAGCCAAAGUUCGCUGCUGGGCUUGAGGCCCCUAUAAGAGGACAAUGUAACCCAGGCUGGUAUGGGCACAUUCUGCAUUUCCACUUAAACUCAGAUGGCAAGCCCAUCAAACCUUGGUGCCAUGGCUGCCCUGGUAAUUCCUGGCUGACCAGUGCAACCAGGGAGCUGGCCCAUGACCUGGGUGGCAGCUGAGUAGCCAGGACUCAUGCGGCCAAGAGUCAGCCUUCUUCCUGUGACUCAUCCAGGUGCACCCUGCGACAUCUGAAGGUCAGGCUUUCAGCCGCUGUGGCUUCCACUUCCAACUGGCUCCACGUCCCCAGGGAGGGAUCACAUAGAGCUUUGCCAACACAUUCUAUUGCGUGUUUUAAUGUUCCUGUGAAUGCGCCCUUGAGAUUUCUCCCUCCCCCGUCCACACUGAGCUUAGAAGCAAAGUUAAGAGACUCAUCAGAUUCUGAGCUGCUGCGGGAUAUUUUGCAGAAGACGUGCUGUAUUGCCCAGAAGCCAUCGUGUCGCUGGUCGGGGUCCUGCGGAGGCUGGCUGCCUGCCAGGAGCACAAGCGGGCUCCUGAGGUCUACGUGGCCUUUACCGUCCGCAACCCAGAGACGUGCCAGCUGUUCACCACCGAGCUAGGUGAGCCCACACACCCACCCGG
rnacentral:lncRNA from 10 species